rnacentral:rRNA from 1 species
CGCUUAUUGGAGCGGCCGUUGUCAGAUUAGGUAGUUGGUGGGGUAAGGGCCUACCAAGCCUACGAUCUGUAGCUGGUCUGAGAGGAUGAUCAGCCACACUGGAACUGAGACACGGUCCAGACUCCUACGAGAGGCAGCAGGUGGGGAAUAUUGCGCAAGUGGGACGAAAGCCUGACGCAGCCACGCCGCGUGAGCGAUGAAGGCCGUUCGGGUACGUAAAGCUCUGUGGGGAGAGAAGAAUAAAGCCUGUGAAGAGCAGGCCUUGACGGUAUCUCCUUAGCAAGCACCGGCUAACUCCGUG